rnacentral:rRNA from 1 species
UGCAGUCGAGCGGACAGAAGGGAGCUUGCUCCCGGAUGUUAGCGGCGGACGGGUGAGUAACACGUGGGUAACCUGCCUGUAAGACUGGGAUAACUCCGGGAAACCGGAGCUAAUACCGGAUAGUUCCUUGAACCGCAUGGUUCAAGGAUGAAAGACGGUUUCGGCUGUCACUUACAGAUGGACCCGCGGCGCAUUAGCUAGUUGGUGGGGUAAUGGCUCACCAAGGCGACGAUGCGUAGCCGACCUGAGAGGGUGAUCGGCCACACUGGGACUGAGACACGGCCCAGACUCCUACGGGAGGCAGCAGUAGGGAAUCUUCCGCAAUGGACGAAAGUCUGACGGAGCAACGCCGCGUGAGUGAUGAAGGUUUUCGGAUCGUAAAGCUCUGUUGUUAGGGAAGAACAAGUGCGAGAGUAACUGCUCGCACCUUGACGGUACCUAACCAGAAAGCCACGGCUAACUACGUGCCAGCAGCCGCGGUAAUACGUAGGUGGCAAGCGUUGUCCGGAAUUAUUGGGCGUAAAGGGCUCGCAGGCGGUUUCUUAAGUCUGAUGUGAAAGCCCCCGGCUCAACCGGGGAGGGUCAUUGGAAACUGGGAAACUUGAGUGCAGAAGAGGAGAGUGGAAUUCC